CGUGGAUUUCAUUAAAAGUUUCAUGUCACUAGUUUUUCAUAUUUACAGCAGCUAGUAAAGAGCAAAGCUACACUAGCUGUGGUCAUGAAUAUGCUAUAAAGAGCAGAUAAAGGGAAACAAGUUAAUUAGAACAUAAUACUUCAGCAAAAAAUGAUUAUAAGUUGGUGACUAUCGAUGGCCAGGAAGUGGCCAACUAGCCAAGCAGCAAGCAAAAGAAGAACCAACCAAGCAGCAUGCAGAAGAAGAAUCACUGAUUCACUGACGGCGACAACUUGCAGAGGAAGAUGUAGGGGCUUCGUAGACAACUAGCUGACUAUGUUUUAGUAAUUUUGUUUAGGGAUACAUUUUGCAAAAUAUAACUUAGUAAUUGGCAAAAAAAAAAAAUGUGGUCCUCAACACCUCGCCCUCCAUUUCAGCAAAUUAACAUCACUCCUCCCUCAGUUUACCUUAUCUCCAAACCUCGUUCAUAAUAAUGAUUGUGAAAUUAUUGGUAUGUUAUGAAUCCUUUCCAAAAAUAUCAAUGACAAACACAAUAUAACAGCAGUGGAUUCAUUAUAGACCUGUUUAGACAAAGAUAGAAAUAACUUACUGCUAUAAUCCUCUGAGCUGCAGCCAAGGCUGAUGUUUUCAAACAGGUUUUUGGGAGUAGAAGUUUCCUCCUUUAUCAAGCAAAUCCUACAAACAUGGAAGAAGAAUGGAAAUUUAAAAAAAAAAAAGACAUUACCAAACUAACUUCUUCACUAUCGAAAAUUCAUAAAUAUUAUUUCCAAAUUAGAAUUAGUUUUAAAAAAAUUCAAAUCAAUAUUAUCCAUCAACAAUCAACGACAUAGAUCAAAGAACAUACUUCAGCAAAAAUGCAAUAAAAGUGGGUGACUAUCGAUGGCAAUUAAUCGGCGAAACCACGAGAAAUCUUGAUGGCGGCAUUCAACCGACCAGCCAAGCCGCAAGUGGAAGAAGAAGCACCGACGGCAACGACUUGUAGACGAAUCGAUUAGGAUUUGAUUAUUAUGUUUCAAUUUGGCACCGUCUCUUUUUACCCUUCACAAUCCCUUAAUCUGACUAUUCCGUCUUCGAUUUUUGAUUUUU
rnacentral:lncRNA from 1 species